AAGAGUUGAGCUCUGAUUCGCUUGUACAAGAAGUGCAUCGUAGACUAGAUAAUUUUGUGCUGGUAAAAAUGUUUUAGAAUAUCACAGAUGCUACGGAAUAGAUUUUGAAGGUGUAUGAGAGAAAGGACUGUAGAAGGGAGGUUAGUAUUAAAAUGUAGCUAAGAAAUAGGAUAUACGAAUGUGUACUGGAUUGGAUUCAUCUGGCUCAGGACAGAGUCCAGAUGCUGGCUCUUCUAAACACGGUAAUGAACAUUCAGAUCACAAGAAAGGUAGGAACUUUAUUUAGUAACCGAGAGACAAGAAAUUGACGUUAAUAAGUUGCCUGGUUUCAUAUAGGGCGGGAAAUAUCUUUACUAGCUGAGCGACUACGAAGCUGUUAGCUUUUCAAGAAGAAUUCUGUUCCAUGAAAAUAAUUAUGUAAAUUGUUUAUAAAAUAGAACACUCAUUUUUAAUAAUUAGAAAUUCAGCAGCCAGUACAUGUGAUUUACGAUGUUAUCUAGGAAUAUGCAGAAAAUCCUUCUUGGGGAAUAUGAAAUUAGCAUUCCUUGCUAUACAAGCAUGGCUAUGUUGAUUGUAGAGCAUACAUAAAAUGUUGCUUUCAUGUUAACUCCUCGUUAAAAAUGAGUAUUAAAUUCAGAAAUUGACCUAAGUACAGAUAAGGCGAAAGUUUAACUUUUUUACAAUAUCCCGUUGGAGGAAAAGUCAGGACUGGAAACAAUGUGGAGAGUGAUUACUGCACAUCCUUACAUUGAAACAUCCCCUUACAAACUGUAGCAGAUCUCAAGAACGGGUCAUCAAAGAAUAGAAGCCAGGUCUGUUACGCAAGACGUUCUCUCGUGCUAGCUUUAUUGACUACGAACCAAAUACGAGGUUGGAGAGCACUUGGCUGCCGUCAUGAUGAAGUUCUCAGUAUCGAUUGUAGGAGCUUGUUCAUAAUAGAGAGAAACCGUCCUGAAGCUCCUUCUACCCGAUUGCUUUGAUUGCUAGGUUGGCUUCACUGGUUGAACUGACUCGCGAUCACUGCUCGAUCCUACGCAUAAACACUGACUUGGCACCCGUGUGCCUCGGACCAAAAUCAGACUGUGGCUCAGCGAUAGGUCAAUAUCGAAUGACGCGCAGCGAGCUUGCCUCAUGCGGGGUCGACACUAUUAAUGCGUUGUGAGUCGAUCUCGAAACGAGCGGAAGCAGUGAGAAAGGAGAAGACGAAUGAGAGCCCAUAAUGGGCGAGAGUUUGACGACGCA